GGAAGAAAUGAAGAAUACAAUAUAUGAAAUAAAAAAAUACACUAGAAGGAAUUAUGAGCAGGCUGGAUGAAGAGGAGCACUGGAUUAGUGAGCUGGAAGACAAGGUAGAAAGAAAUACCCAGUAUAGGAGCAACA